UACGUAGGGUGCAAGCGUUAAUCGGAAUUACUGGGCGUAAAGCGCGCGCAGGCGGCUAUCCAAGUCAGUGGUGAAAGCCCGGAGCUCAACUCCGGAACUGCCAUUGAAACUGUUUAGCUUGAGGACGAGAGAGGUGAGUGGAAUUCCCAGUGUAGAGGUGAAAUUCGUAGAUAUUCGGAGGAACACCAGUGGCGAAGGCGGCUCACUGGCUCGACACUGACGCUGAGGUGCGAAAGCGUGGGGAGCAAACAGG
rnacentral:rRNA from 1 species